CCUUCUCAGGCUCAGGUUGGCUACCCCUGGUCUAAAACAUGGAUCAGAAAUCAUGAAAUGUUUCUUUUGGGUUUUAUUGUAGCUUUUUGUUAACAAUAGUCCCAAAGACUUCCAGAAAAGAGACAAAUCCUCAUGCUUGAGGUCUUAUGUCAACAUCCAACUACUGGGGUUUCGAGGAAAUAUCCCUGCGGUCACAAUAUCCCAUAACUGCUUACUGUAGGCUCCAACCUUGCAAAGACUUAAAAGCAUGCUUAACUUUGAACAGACCCUUUGAAUCCAGUGGAACUACUCAAAAAGUUAUGUGCUUGAGUUUUGGCACAACUGAGAGAUAAGUGAGCAUAAGAAUAUACAAACCCUGUUGACAUUCCCAGGCAUUGGUAUUUUUCGCAUAUUUCACAUAUUCCAUAUAACCAGAGUUCUGGAAAUUUCAAAAUCACCCAAGUUAGGGAAUGCCAAGUCCACCAUAAUGGUUUAUUCCUCUCAACUAUUACCACUCUUCUAAUGGUGUUACAAAUACCUUUACUACCACUUGUAGCUAUUUGGUAUUAGCACACCUGUACUUAAUAUAUGUACAUUACAAUUUUCAGUUUUCCUUUAAAAAAAAAAUCUGUUUUCUCUCCAAAUAGGCAGAGAAAGGAGUCCCUGGAGGUGCUUGUUAAUCAGGAGCACAAUGACUGGGUGAGAAAGAAGAGUGCCCUUUUGGAAGCCUAAAAGGAAGAGAUUUGUUAUACCCAAGACAGGGAGUGUGAAGAGACAGAGACGAGUGGCCCUACUCACUUAAGGAUGGGAAGCUGUAAAAUGUACAGCGGAAGUAUAAUAAAUUAAUGCAUUGUAAAUUAGUGGCAUAGGAAAAUGUUUUUGCACAUGAAUGUCAACAUUGACAAUUGGAUGGAUUUUUACUUGUGUCUUGCAUCCAUUGAAAAUGAGAAGAACUCAAUGACAGCAGUACAUAAAACUGUAUAGAUAUGUUUCCUGAGGUCUCCAUUUUUCUUGUCUCCAGUCUGUAUUCCUUCAUCCCCUCCUCACUUAGAUAGCUGGAGUUUCUGCUUACUAGGCUGGGAAGUCUUCACUCAUAUAUCUUCUGCUUGUCAGUAGCAUUUCUCAGGCUGUAUUAUGCUGUUUCUUGAUUUCCUGGCAUGUUAGGACCACUGGCUGCUUUUGUGUUAGAGAGAUGGCACCUUCCCCAACAAACUGUCAUGACAGUUGUGACACCAACUUUCUAAAUAGGCAAGAAAGCAAACUGAUCAAAGUAAAGCUUUCUAGGAAUUGAAGUAAAUGGCUGACUGAAUAGUAAACAAUAGCUGGCAUCUAAACAAUGAACAUUGUGGAAGCUGAUCUUCUUUGCAAAAAAAUCUGCAGAAAAAAAUCAUACCAUGGACAAAGCAAAAUAUUCAACAAUUGGAAUUCCUGAAACUGUAAUCUCAUUCUGUUGGUUGACGUUUUUUAGAAUUAAUGAUUUCUUAUUACCAAGCAAAGUCAACACCAAAUAUAUGGGAAAAAAGAC